rnacentral:tRNA from 4 species
GCGCCCGUAGCUCAGUUGGAUAGAGUACCUGGCUUCGAACCAGGUGGUCGGAGGUUCGAAUCCUUCCGGGCGCGCCA